GUGCUCUAUUCAGCAGUAUAUAUACUAAAACUGGAACGAUAUUGAGGUUAGCAUGGCUCCUGUGCAAGGAUGACAUGCGAAUUUGUGAAAUGUUUCAUGUCUUU